GACAGAGGGUGCAAACGUUGUUCGGAAUUACUGGGCGUAAAGCGUGUGUAGGCGGUCUCGUUAGUCGGGUGUGAAAGCCCUGGGCUCAACCCAGGAAGUGCACUCGAUACUGCGAGGCUAGAGUAUCGGAGAGGUUGGUGGAAUUCUCGGUGUAGAGGUGGAAUUCGUAGAUAUCGAGAGGAACACCGGUGGCGAAGGCGGCCAACUGGACGAAUACUGACGCUGAGACACGAAAGCGUGGGGAGCAAACAGG
rnacentral:rRNA from 1 species